rnacentral:rRNA from 1 species
UACAGAGGGGGCAAGCGUUGUUCGGAAUUACUGGGCGUAAAGGGCGCGUAGGCGGCCUGCUAAGUCGAACGUGAAAUCCCUGGGCUCAACCCAGGAACUGCGUCCGAUACUGGUUGGCUUGAAUCCGGGAGAGGGACGUGGAAUUCCAGGCGUAGCGGUGAAAUGCGUAGAUAUCUGGAGGAACACCGGUGGCGAAGGCGACGUCCUGGACCGGUAUUGACGCUGAGGCGCGAAAGCCAGGGGAGCAAACGGG